rfam:Ananas comosus cultivar MD2 ACMD2_Scaffold_1899, whole genome shotgun sequence.
GUCUGCCUGGCUCCCUGAAUGCCAUCUGAGAAGCUUUGUCAAAUGUGUUGAUGAACUUGUUGGUUGGCAUCUGGGGAGUCAUGCAGGC